UCAAUUUUCCUUUUGUCAAGGUUGUGAAAUCUAGUGAUUUAUCAAUUAUUAUGUUAAGUGAUUAAACGGCAAAUUUCCUCCCCCCAAACUCCACCAGCUCAAUGAAUUAUCGAAAACAGAUUCCAGACGGAAGCUUCUCCAGGACUUCUCGCCGCUCCUCAAGCAAAAGUGAUGCAACUAUUCCAAAUGCUCAUAAUGCCCAAAGUACACGGAAUGAAAAGUUUUCAAAAUAAACACACCUGGCAAAGAAAACUAAACAUGUGGGAACAGAAAGAGAUAUGUGAGCAUCCUGAAUUCCCUGAUCUCUCUGAGAGUCCAGUGGUGCAUGUUCAUACUUUCCC